rnacentral:rRNA from 1 species
GGCGGCAGGCCUAAUACAUGCAAGUCGAACGGAUCCUUCGGGAUUAGUGGCGGACGGGUGAGUAACACGUGGGAACGUGCCCUUUGGUUCGGAACAACUCAGGGAAACUUGAGCUAAUACCGGAUGUGCCCUUCGGGGGAAAGAUUUAUCGCCAUUGGAGCGGCCCGCGUCUGAUUAGCUAGUUGGUGGGGUAAAGGCCCACCAAGGCGACGAUCAGUAGCUGGUCUGAGAGGAUGAUCAGCCACACUGGGACUGAGACACGGCCCAGACUCCUACGGGAGGCAGCAGUAGGGAAUCUUGCGCAAUGGGCGAAAGCCUGACGCAGCCAUGCCGCGUGAAUGAUGAAGGUCUUAGGAUUGUAAAAUUCUUUCAGCGGGGACGAUAAUGACGGUACCCGCAGAAGAAGCCCCGGCUAACUUCGUGCCAGCAGCCGCGGUAAUACGAAGGGGGCUAGCGUUGCUCGGAAUUACUGGGCGUAAAGGGCGCGU